rnacentral:rRNA from 1 species
GACGAACGCUGGCGGCGUGCCUAAUACAUGCAAGUAGAACGCUGAAGAGAGGAGCUUGCUCUUCUUGAAUGAGUUGCGAACGGGUGAGUAACGCGUAGGUAACCUGCCUUGUAGCGGGGGAUAACUAUUGGAAACGAUAGCUAAUACCGCAUAACAAUGGGUGACACAUGUCAUUUAUUUGAAAGGGGCAAUUGCUCCACUACAAGAUGGACCUGCGUUGUAUUAGCUAGUAGGUGAGGUAACGGCUCACCUAGGCGACGAUACAUAGCCGACCUGAGAGGGUGAUCGGCCACACUGGGACUGAGACACGGCCCAGACUCCUACGGGAGGCAGCAGUAGGGAAUCUUCGGCAAUGGGGGCAACCCUGACCGAGCAACGCCGCGUGAGUGAAGAAGGUUUUCGGAUCGUAAAGCUCUGUUGUAAGUCAAGAACGAGUGUGAGAGUGGAAAGUUCACACUGUGACGGUAGCUUACCAGAAAGGGACGGCUA